UACAGAGGUCCCGAGCGUUGUUCGGAUUCACUGGGCGUAAAGGGUGCGCAGGCGGCCGAGUGUGUGAGGCGUGAAAGCCCGGGGCUUAACCCCGGAAUUGCACCUCAAACUACACGGCUAGAGCAUUGGAGAGGGUAGCAGAAUUCAUGGUGUAGCAGUGAAAUGCGUAGAUAUCAUGAGGAAUACCAGAGGCGAAGGCGGCUACCUGGACAAUUGCUGACGCUCAGGCACGAAAGCGUGGGGAGCAAACAGG
rnacentral:rRNA from 1 species